rnacentral:lncRNA from 1 species
GGAUCUUGAGUGAGAGAAUCAGCAUAAAGUACAUCUUCGAUCUGUGACAUCACGGUGAAAGCCAAGCUCUCUAAAAUCCUUGAGUAGCUUUCCAAAAUAGAUUGUCCAACAUCCUUCAGAAAGAACAAAGAUAUUUUCUAGAUUAUGUAAGUUGUUUACUUAGUGGAAAAUGAUGGACUUGUUAUAAUUUUGGUUACUUACUUUGCUGUAUUGGAUUUUGCUUGUGUCAAGAGCUGAUUGCGGAAUGCCUGGGAACCGCAGCUUGAGAAGGUGUAAGAUGAUCUCAGCUCUCUCUUCAAACUGCUCCCUCUUCUCCAUGCUGACUGCUGAGCCCCAGGAUGAUUUUGUGUCCUUGUUGUGCAUCUUUCGUAUCCAAAUGAUAAUGGAUGCCUCGAUUCGGUUUUUAAGGUCGAGGACCUUGUGCUCCGUUGACAAGUCCAUCGAUUCAAGGAAUUCUUCAGGGUCGAAGCCAUCAUCGGUUAUGCUCCGGUAAAUUGAAUCCCCAAGGCUUGCUCUUCCAUUCUGCAAUGCAUUUGGAAACACCCAACUCAAUAUCAUCUCAUAUAUUGGAAUGUCAAGUGACAGAACAAUGAACAAUCUUCAAAUCUGUGCUGUUAUGCAGAAGGCCAUAUAACUGAAGUGACAACAGUGAUAUUCCUGUUCAGUGUUGAAUGAUUGAGACAUUAAGCACAAAAAUUUGAGGUAAAGAACUUAAGUUCAUUAGUAUGUCGUCAUUUGUCUUUGAUACUUUCAUAUAGCCACAAAUGUAUUAACUUUCAUUUUACGUAUCUUAAACGCUGAUGAACAUCAAAUACAGCCAAAAAAAAAGAAAGAAAGAAAACUAUCAUAAAUUUGCAAAUAAUUUAGCAAACCUGAAGAAUCUAUUCAUGAACAGGUGCUGCAUACAAACUGAAAUAUAAUGAACUUGUAGGGGAUUUAAACCAAGUCUUACCUUUGGUAGGGAUUCAAUGUAAGCCUGAAAUAUACUGAACUUGUAGG